AGAGUUUGAUUAUGGCUCAGAGNNNNCGCUGGCGGCGUACUUAACACAUGCAAGUCGAACGAGGAUCGUCGGUGUAGCAAUACAUUGGCGGUCCUAGUGGCGCACGGGUGAGUAACACGUGGGUGACCUGCCCUUGAGCUCGGGAUACCCCCUCGAAAGGGGGGCUAAUACCGGAUACGUUCCUUGGUUGAAAGACUGGGGAGGGAAGGUGGCGCAAGCUGCCGCUCUUGGAGGGGCUCGCGGCCUAUCAGCUAGUUGGCGGGGUAACGGCCCACCAAGGCUAUGACGGGUAGCUGGUCUGAGAGGACGACCAGCCACACGGGGACUGAGACACGGCCCCGACUCCUACGGGAGGCAGCAGUGGGGAAUUUUCCGCAAUGGACGAAAGCCUGACGGAGUGACGCCGCGUGUGGGACGAAGGCCUUCGGGUCGUAAACCACUGUCAGUGGGAAAGAUGGGUGUCGGUGUUAAUACCACCGGCAUCUGGCGGUACCUGCAGAGGAAGCCCCGGCCAACUCUGUGCCAGCAGCCGCGGUAAGACAGAGGGGGCAAGCGUUGCUCGGAAUUACUGGGCGUAAAGGGCGCGUAGGCGGGAUGGCAAGUCGGUCGUGAAAUCCCUCGGCUCAACCGAGGAACGUCGAUCGAUACUGCCGUUCUUGAGGGUUGCAGAGGAGACUGGAAUUCCCGGUGUAGCGGUGAAAUGUGUAGAGAUCGGGAGGAACAC
rnacentral:rRNA from 1 species